rnacentral:misc_RNA from 1 species
AACACUGUUAACCUGCGGUACCUGCGGAAGGAUCAUUACAGAGUGUAAAAACUCCCAAAACCCAUGUGAACAUACCUUUUUGUUGCUUCGGCGGGAUCGCCCCGGGCGCCUUGUGUGCCCCGGAGUCAGGCGCCCGCCGGGGGACCCAAACUCUUGUUUUUAACGAGUAUCUUCUGAGUAACGUUUUUAAAUAAAUAAAAACUUUUAGCAACGGAUCU